rnacentral:rRNA from 1 species
CGUAGGUAACCUUCCUUCGAGCGGGGGACAACGGUCCGAAAGGACCGCUAAUACCGCAUACGUUCCCGAGGACCCCGGUCCUCGGGAGGAAAGCUAGGGUAGCAAUACUCCGGCACUCGAAGCGGGGCCUACGCCGCAUCAGCUAGUUGUGGGGUAAUGGCCUACCAAGGCAAAGACGCGUAGCUGGUCUGAGAGGAUGAUCAGCCACACUGGGACUGAGACACGGCCCAGACUCCUACGGGAGGCAGCAGUGGGGAAUAUUGGACAAUGGGCGCAAGCCUGAUCCAGCCACGCCGCGUGAGUGAUGAAGGCCUUCGGGUCGUAAAGCUCUGUGGGGAGGGACGAACCGCUGCACGUUAAUAGCGUGCAGCAUGACGGUACCUCCUUAGCAAGCACCGGCUAACUUCGUGCCAGCAGCCGCGGUAA